UGGAAUUGGAGGCGGUGGAGCAACGUGGGCCCCACAAGCCUGCUAGGCGCGGCCAGGGGGGUCUGCGCCUGGUGGACUUGUGGGCUCCACGCUCCACUUCUUCGGUUGAUUCUUGCGCCAGUAUUUUUUAUAUAUUCCACAAAAAAUCCUCGUAAAUUUCCAGGUCAUUCCGAGAACUUCUAUUUCUGCCAAAAACAACACCAUGGCAAUUCUGCUGAAAACAACGUUAGUCCGGGUUAGUUUCAUUCAAAUCAUGCAAAUUAGAGUCCAAAACAAGGGCAAAAGAGUUUGGAAAAGUAGAUACGACGGAGACGUAUCAAUGCCGUUGCAUGUAUCUACAGGUACGGCUCAGUAAUCCUCUCUUCGCCUAGUUCCUUGCAUGUAAUCAUAUGAUCCUCAUGAUCUCCAAAAUUACCUGAGCACAUCAUCCAUGCAUCAUACAAAAAGUAGUAAAUUAGAUAUAAGAAUUCGUCCUAAUAAAAGAACUUGUGGUUUCAGUGCGUAUCUUUAUGAAAAAAUAAAAUCAAAUUGCAUAUGAAGCCAAUGGUGUUCCAUAAUGUAUUGUUAUACUAAAUUUGCUUCUGAUGGGUUAAGACUCCACGGGAUACAAAUAGAGAGAUAUAAUCGGAAAGACGAAAAGAAGCAUAAAGCUUUUUCAUUCAGGCAUUGAUACAAGAAGUUGUUGGGCAGCCUCCUUGAACCUGAAAUUGGAAAAAGAAAGGACGAACCUACAACUUGAGAAUAAAUUUAGAAGAAGCAAGAGCAUAGAUAUCCCCAGACGGCCACACCGCAAGAGAGAAUGCAUUGCAUCCCAAUUCAGUGUCCAGCAACGGUAAUAAGAUCAUAUCCCCGUUCUGAACUACUGGAAGAUCUAGCUGAAGAAAAACUGGAGGCACACUCGUGUGCUCUGCUCCUCACCUGACGUGUGCGCCCGUGCAGGCAGCUCCUGUUCGAGUUGUUGCCACAACACCUUGCUUUUGCCACGUUAGGGAGGGCGAAAGGGUCGGCUAGACGUGGGCCGGCGGCCGAUCGGCGAGCGGAGACCCGCGCAUGGUGGUUCGAGGUGGCCACGAUGGCGGGCGUGGGGCGGAGGCGACUGUUGGCGAGGGGUGGAGGCGAAAGCUGAGAGGAGGGGCGGCAGCCAUGUCGGAACAUAGGCGACUCGAGCGGCGGCGGAGGGUCAGGUGGUUUGGGGAAGUUGUUUUCUCAUCCAUAUGAGGGAGUUGUUUAUCUCGCCCACGAAGUGGCACGACGUGAUUAGUGGGAUCGAUGGGUUAGUGUCGUUCAACUUUUGUUUUCGUUUGUGCUUAAUAACGUUAAAGUAUUUUAGACCAUUAAAUUUGUGAUUAGACGGUUAAUAUGUUAAGUUAGAUCUGUCCUCUCGUGCUUUUAAUAGUAGAGAUGUUUUUUAUUUACGGAUUUCACCAGUUUUUAGAUUGUUUCUGGUUCUUCGGAUUAUUCUAUUUUUGUUGUUGUUUCUGUUUGGUUUUGCUUCUAUCUUUUCAGGUUUAUUGUCUUUUUUGUGUUCCGUUUUCUUUUUGGUAAUGAAUAUAGGCAUUUUUAAAAUUUAUUUAUUAAUUUUCUAAACACACACUAUUG
rnacentral:lncRNA from 1 species